rnacentral:rRNA from 1 species
UACGGGGGGGGCAAGCGUUGUUCGGAAUUACUGGGCGUAAAGCGUGCGCAGGCGGUUGUGCAAGACAGAUGUGAAAUCCCCGGGCUUAACCUGGGAACUGCAUUUGUGACUGCACGGCUAGAGUGCGGCAGAGGGGGAUGGAAUUCCGUGUGUAGCAGUGAAAUGCGUAGAUAUGCGGAGGAACACCGAUGGCGAAGGCAAUCCCCUGGGCCUGCACUGACGCUCAUGCACGAAAGCGUGGGGAGCAAACAGG